AUGCUGUCUGUGUGGGUGGACCAUUUCAGUUUACUCUCGUUGGCGAUCGUGAGCAGUUUAAAUGAAGUGAUUGAAUGUGUCAGUUGUGAGGACCUCACUCCACUCAGGAAAGAGAUUACUGUUUAGAGGGAACCCCUGUUACCUUGUUUUACAACUACUCCAGGACAUCUACUGGUGGAGAUGAAUCACUGUGUCAAGUAACACUUACCAGCAUGCUACUAGGAUACAUUUUAAUAUAUGCACUAGUGGGUGGCUGUCAUGGGAAUGACAUUACUCCAACAACAGAUAAGGUGUUUGGGUUGGAGGGUGAUGUCAUAAAUCUGUCCUGUAACUACUCCUCUGCUAGUACUCUCCAGUGGUAUCACCAGUACCCUGGAUCAUCUCCCAUCUUUCUCCUCCUCACUACAGUCUCCUCAAACCCCUUUGUAGUGAACGCUACUCCUCCAUAUCCACGACUGUCUGUUGAACUGAAUAAGGAGAGAACCCGUGUGGAUCUGAAGAUCUCCUCUGCUGUUGUAACAGACUCUGCUCUGUACUACUGCGCCCUGGAGCCCACAGUGACAGGAAAUCCUGAAACACUGUACAAAAACCCGACAGCUCAUGAUAAACAAUUCUUGUGCAUAUUUUAGUGCAGAGGUGGGGCAUCCUACUGUAGGUUCAAGAAAAUGUAUUAUCUUUUAUUAAAAAACUGUGUUGGGACUUCACUCCAGCAUAUAACCUCAGCAACAAUGGCUCUCUACAGAGUUAUUUUACUUUCUGCUCUGACAGGAUAGUAAAUUAAUGUAUUACUGUCAUUAUUUUUACAACAUUGCUUCGGUUAAUUUAUAGUUUAUCUGCGCUAUUGGAUUAAGGAAUAAACACGAAGAUAUUUCCUCAUUUCAAAUACAUUUCUCUUGUAAUUGAUCUGUCACCUAUUCAUAUUUGCCGGUGACAGUUUUCAGCAGACCUUCCAGACAAACCGACAUGAAGUGUAUGAAGAGGAGGGCAGUAAUGUUCAGCUUUCCUGCUACUACACUCAGCAUACAGUGCUUUGUGGUAUAAACAGUAUCCAGGAGCCCACAGUGACAGGAAACUGAGAAACACUGUACAACAACCAUACAACACUCUGCACUAUACUGCUGUGCUGUGACGUCCACAGUGAUGCAAAAUGUACUGACUCAG